UACGUAGGGUGCAGGCGUUAAUCGGAAUUACUGGGCGUAAAGCGCACGUAGGCGGCUUUGUAAGUUAGAGGUGAAAGCCCGGGGCUCAACUCCGGAACUGCCUUUAAGACUGCAUCGCUUGAAUCCAGGAGAGGUGAGUGGAAUUCCGAGUGUAGAGGUGAAAUUCGUAGAUAUUCGGAAGAACACCAGUGGCGAAGGCGGCUCACUGGACUGGUAUUGACGCUGAGGUGCGAAAGCGUGGGGAGCAAACAGG
rnacentral:rRNA from 1 species